GUGCACCAGGCGAGAAUCGUGACCAAUGCACGAAAGUGUGAGCCCGCGAGCUCGAGUGUUAGGGAUACCCCUAACUGUGAUGGAGUGUUCAAAGCUCCAACAGCAAGCAGAGGGCAAGGCUGGUGCCGAGCCGCCGCGGGUAAAACCAGCUCUGCGAGUGCCCAGGACGAUUAUUGGGCUUAAAGCAUCCGUAGCCGGUUCAGUAGGUCCUUGGUUAAAUCUGCAAACCUAAUUUGUAGGCUGUCAGGGAUACCGCUGAACUAGGGAAUGGAAGAGGUGAACGGGUACUGCGAGAGAAGCGGUGAAAU
rnacentral:rRNA from 1 species